UACGGAGGGUGCAAGCAUUGAUCGGAAUUACUGGGCGUAAAGGGCGCGUAGGCGGCCGAGAAAGUCAGAUGUGAAAUUCCGGGGCUCAACCCCGGAGCUGCAUUUGAAACUUCUCGGCUCGAGUUCAGUUAGGGAAAACGGAAUUCCACGUGUAGCGGUGAAAUGCGUAGAUAUGUGGAAGAACACCGGUGGUGAAGACGGUUUUCUGGGCUGAGACUGACGCUGAGGCGCGAAAGCUAGGGGAGCAAACAGG
rnacentral:rRNA from 1 species